CACUCAGAUAGCUUAGUGAUUAGCAUCUGCCUCGGAUGCAGGAGGUCAUGGGUUCAAUCCCCAUCCGAGUCA